UUUCAAAAUCCUAAAAUUCCCACAUAAAAUAAAAAGUUAAUCAACAUUUCACAAUACAGUAUCAACAAGUGCUUCACCAAAUUCUCUGUUACAUUCGCAAAAAAUUGAAAACUGUACCUAAGCAAGAGAUGAUCUUCCAGACCCAGAAUCUCAAUGAGACCUUACCCCGCAAGUAACCGAAGUGACUUCCAAGAAAACGCUAAUCGAAAAUAGUUAAAGCAAAAUGAGAUUCUGAUUAUUACGAAAAUAAACCUUUGUUUCACAGUUUCUUCAUCGGAUAUUGAGACAACUAAACGAUGGCGUAUCGGAGGCAUUAGUGUGUUGAGUUUUGAAACGGCUGCGUAUUGGGCGUUUGAAGUUAUAUAUUCUCACCCACAUCGGAAACACAGAGAAGUGUCGUUCUGUUUAUAUAGCGAAGAGACGAAGGUAGAGGUCACGACCUUACUUGAACAGGAUCUGUUCUAUAGGCUCGUACCUCUGUAUCCUUGAUUUCUAAGGAGACAGGCCCCUUAUUACCCUGGUUGAUGAAUCAUGGCCGUGCGAUCUUGAGUGUGAUUAACGGCUACGAUUGUCCUCGGACUCCCCGCACUGUAGAGGAUCGCUAUCCGGCUCGGUCUUGACCUUUCCGGAGUGGUCGCACGGUUGUCUGACAGGCUUCUUUUUUUUUCCCUAUCCUCGCCGACCCAGAAUCCAUUCACGUCUCCCCCUCUUCUAUACCAUUUACUUGCUUGUUCCUAUCGUGCCUCUGUACCCUUUCGAAAUAUCUGUACAUAGAAGCAGAGAUGGUUUUCGCUAUAGUUUUUACUUGUGUAUCCUUCUAAGCUCAAACUAUAUGGGAUCAGAGUGAUGAUGUUAGAUUGUUUAAUCUCGGUGACCUUUGUGGGUUUUUAGACUCAAAGAAGCGCUUAAAGUUUCGGGGUUUGAGGAUUGUUUGAUAAGGCUCUAGGUGAUCUUCUUUGGGUUCCUUUUGAUUCGCUAAAGUAACUGUUGGUUUUUGUCAUUGUGAUAUAUUAAAUAUACUUUGGGAGUUUCUUGGAGGUC